ACGCCCCCGCCUCCGCCUGAGCUUCCUCUCCUCGCUCGCGGAUCUGCCACGGCGCGGCGCUGCACCACCACUCCGCUCGGAGGUGCUGCCACGGAUCGCCUGGAUCUCCAAGGAGCCAACAUCCCGCGCCCUCUGCUCAAAUCCUAGCGACUGGGGCAAGCAGCAGCAAAGGCUGCCAGAUCGUGGUUUUUCUCGGCAGGAGAAGGUGACGUUUGAGAGGGCGGCGACCCAGGAGGAGGAGGAGAGGCUGCGGUACCUCUAGUUCGUACAGCAGGUGGCGGCGCAGGCGCUGGUGAUGGCCGCUCCGCCCCGGCGUCGACCACAUCGAGGGCACCGUCAAGGCUGUCGUGGGAUCUUAAGUGAAGUUGCUGGGGUUGGUGCAGGGCAAAAUGUGCCACAGGUGGAAUCAGCUGGACCGGUGGGGGCUUAACCGAUGGAAUUAGCAAUCAUCUGUCUAUGACUCGAUGGAAUUUGAUCAAACAGUUUCAUUUGGCGCAGCCAUGUGCGUCUAUUCAGGACUCUUUAUGAGAUAUAUGGAGAACAAAGAACCGGAGGCUCAGCAGUAAAAGAAGUGUAUAAACCUGCAUUUAUUUACCUUCCCAAUAAGAGUGACCUGCAGCAGCAGCAGCUUUACCUGCCGGAGUCUUAUUUAUGUUGUAUCUAGUGGCACAUGUAAGCAUAUGUAUGGCCAUAUGGCACAAUUCACUCACCGCCAAAACCUGUGUGCAUACAUUGUGAUUUUUUAUUUGGAUCCACUCCCAAUUCGACGUGAUA